GAGACAAAGCAAGACGGCAGCGCACAAUCGUGCAAGGAAUCUGCCUCCUGACAACGCCCGUCGCCGUUGCAUAUACUGACGCGCCACUGUCCACGAAUCCCCGGUGCAGAACAAAGCCAGAUAGCGAAAGCUCGGUACAUGCGCGCGGAAUUUCCACGGAACGCACACGGCAACCCGUUUUCCCACGACACAGACAGCCAUCACGCAGCAGGAGGAGGGCUGUGGCUGCCUGGCAGGUAUUGUGAACUGCAUAGCAUGUUUAUGCAUUCACAUCAAUUUCGGUGUCAUGCCAUUUACAGGGAAAAUCUAUCUCCAGAAAAAAUGGGCCAAAUCCGAAUUCUGAGAGAGCUGAAGAAACGCAUAGAGCAAGAGACAGGAACUAUACUUCCUUUCGGGCCUUCAGAGAAGCUACCACCAACAGCUCAGAGAAGGAGGCGGCAACGACGACGAUGAUUGUCAUGAGGACAACAUCCUUUGGAGGUUCAAAUUGUGGUUCACCCAGCCCGCAUUUGGAAGCUGUCAGAAAAUCAGUGCUGCUCGUGUGGAAAAAAGGACAGGCAGGCCGCAGGGGUGCCGCCGUGCUGCGCAGGCUGCAGGCGCACGGAAGUGAGCUUGUUCUUUUACUGAUAGGUAAUUUGGUACCAGAUGUGCUACUGAUGGCACAUGAAUAAGUGGUAAGGAUCUGAUAAUUCAAAGCUACUACCCCUUAUUCAGAACCUCAAUGCAAGUCUGGGGUUCAACAUUUGUAAAUAUUUAUUGCUGGGGUUAACAUGCUUAAUAUUGUAACUCUGAUGAUGCAAUGUGUAAGCAUACCCAGAAAUAUUGAUCAAGCUGAUAUGAAUUUAAUUCCUUCUCUUUUGUCUGCUUUGGGUUAGCCCUGGAAGUCGAGCCGCUGAUGAGAAGAACUAUUUUGACAGCCAUCUCACACUAUUUUAUAGGAUUGAGCAGUUAUCGCCGAGCCGAUUCGUUCAACUGAAGAUCAAGGACUCAAAAAGCAAGUUAGAUGCCAUAAAAAGGGAGAUCAAGAACCUCCAAAAGACAGUGGUCACCAUGUCUAAGGCGAUCCAAGAUCUCAAAAACCAUGUCGAUGCCAACAUUGCCAAGAUUUAGAAGCCUUACAAGUCAUGCCUAGUUUAAUUUAAUUUCCUUAUGGCUACGUUCUUGCAGUUUCCGUAUACAGUUAGUUCAAAGAACAUUGCUAGUAAUGGUAUUCAGGCAGCUAGCAGUAGAGCUUCAGGGAAUGCUGGAAGAUUGAUUAGUUAUAUCAUAUUCGUAGUCAAAGAUCA